GAGGAGUUGAGAAGAACGCAAAAGAAGGAUGAAGACGACUGGAACCAAGACUUAUAUAUAUAUGACUGAUGAGAACCAGGGGGAGCAGAGGCUUCACUACAAUGAAGGAAAUUACUCUGACUUGGAAGAAGUGACCUCUCCAGUGUACCUGAGUGUGCUGAUGAUCCUCCUUCAUACAUUCAUGGUCUGGUCACUCCCAAUCCUUGUACCAGUGUCAUAAUGUGACUGGGACGCUGGACAGGUUUGGGGGGGGCUGUGCCAAUGACUAGAUGCUACAUGUGUUAUCAUCACCUCUGUUUACCCCUGUUUACUGUAACACCUUUGUUCUCAUAUUUUCAUGGUGAAUUCUAAUAAUUUUGUACCAGUGUCUAGAUGAAACUGGCAAUGAUGUCCACAAAGCUGUGGAAAUAAUUAUUAAUUAGCUUUCUUUAUUUUCUGUGGGAAGAUGUACAAAGCAUUAACUUGAAAGGAUGUUAAAAGUGAGCCAAAGUGACCAUCUGUCUUUUUAUUGUAUAUUUCUUUUUCUUUGACUGUUAUGUUACUAUAAUGGUAAGAAAAAUAGUGUAUGAAAAAAUACAUUUUCUGUCCGGAGCCUGUACAAUAACAUUACAUUUGAAAAAGGAAUUGUGUCACUGGUGUUACCAUGGAAUAAAGAAGUAUAACAAAAAAUUUUUAAUAAAAAAAAACAAAAACAAAAACACAA